UAUUAGUUGUGUUCUUGAAACUUAAAGAAUUUGGCGGUAUCCUACUCCGUUCAGAGGAAUCUGUCUCGUUAUCGAUAGUCCGCGUUGGACCUUACUUAGGGUUAGUUUUGGUUUGUAUACCGCCGUUUAUUGAUUAUCUUUUUAGAGUAUCAUGAAUUUUCUGGUUUCUUUAAUUUGAUUUAUUGCAGGUCAAGGUGCAGCUUUUUCUAAGUGUAAUGAUGGAUUACAGUGUUAUGUGUUGUUUGGAUUGUUUAUUUUAAUAUUGGCAUGAAAUUGGAUUUGGUUGUAAUGUUUUGUAGAUUGUUUUCAUGAUAGUUGGUUCUAGGAUAUGUACACAUCGCCCGUCGCUCUCAUUUAAGUUUUUGAUGAGAUAAGUCGUAACAUAGUAA
rnacentral:rRNA from 1 species